UACAGAGGGUGCGAGCGUUGUCCGGAAUCACUGGGCGUAAAGGGCGCGUAGGUGGCCCGACAAGUCAGUGGUGAAAGUUCGACGCUCAACGUCGAAUCGGCCACUGAUACUGUGGGGCUGGAGCACUGUAGAGGCUCAUGGAAUUCCGGGUGUAGCGGUGGAAUGCGUAGAGAUCCGGAAGAACACCGGUGGCGAAGGCGGUGAGCUGGGCAGUUGCUGACACUCAACUACGAAAGCGUGGGGAGCAAACAGG
rnacentral:rRNA from 1 species